CAGAGGAUAUGGGAGUGCGGUAUUGAUCAGAAGGUGGAGCGCAGGAAAAAAUGAGGGCUUUCACGGCUUCCUCUUUUUUCCGUGUGAAAGCAGAAGUCCACGACGCGCAGCUAACGAAUGGCCGCUAAUGAGUUGACUCCUCCCUCCCUCAUACAAAAAAGACUCAUUCUUCAUUGUUUUAAUUUUUUUUUUGAACCGUUACAAAACCAAUUGUGAAGAGAAGUCAGGACGGCGCUCACGGGACUAAAAGCAUCAGUUCUGGAGACAGAGCCCAACACAGAGAGUUCCUACUUUUUUUGGCACGAAGCGAACUACACGGGGAUGACGAGAGUGGGGUCCUCACGCACACCCACGGCGAGACGGGAGGGGAGCUCAGACCACAUGGAGUUGCGUCGCAAUGGCGGGCGCGGAUGUCCGGCCCUCAGCUGUCAAAAUUGUGGCCUUUAUUUGGAAAGAAAAUGUCUCAAGGCGUUAGGGUUAGCCAGCAAACCCAGACAGACUCUAUCUUGACCCCUGACCCGUCACUGUCUACCAGCGCCGGAUGGGAGAGUGGAGGGCGGAGGGGGUGCGGGUCAAACACACGCCACGGAUGCAGACAGCUGAUAGAUGAAGUCACCAUUUGUUGCCAUGACGAUGAAAAGCUGGAGGCAAGCACAGAAAUCACGCACCAAAUUGCAUUACUCUUUUCCAGGGCACGACCACGCUUCAAAGAUACGCGUAUUCCGUUGAAAGAUGUUUUUGGGGAUGUUAGCAAGAUAGUUGGAGGUGCAUCCAAAAGCUAUUCAAUUGUGUCUUAGGUUUAACCUUUCUUUUUCAAAAUUGUAAUAAUUUCAUAUUUUUAGUAAUGGAGAAUCUGCCCAAAUGUGAUGGUAUUUUUUCAUUAUUGUUGUGUAAAAACUGUGUAUUUAAAGGCAAAUUGUGUGUUUGAUCUAACUGUAAACAAAAUCUAAUGGGGGGGGGAUGAGAAAACCGAAAAAGGAAAAUACAUGAUAUUCAUUCACUUCAGUGGACCAACAUUUUUGUUUGUUUUGAAAGAAAGUUGACUACAGGAGUUUAGAAGUGAAUAGAGAAAAAAAUAUAUUUUUUUAACAUUUUUGAAAAAUAAAAAAAAUAGUCAUUAUGUAGUAAUAAGAAAAAUGUUUUUCCUUUAUUUAAUUGUCCCUAUUCAUUAUUUUUAUUUAUUUUAUUUUAUGCUCAUUUAAUUGUUCUAAUUGAUGAGUAUUUUUUUAAUAAUCUAUUUUCUUUUUUGGCAAGAUUUGCCUUUGGAUUGAUGUCCAUAGUUUAACUAUGCAAUAUAAUGGAUGAGUCAUAAAAUGUCAACCAAUAUUGUCCUCGUUUUCUAAUAAAUGUGUACAUCAUAA